rnacentral:rRNA from 1 species
UACGUAGGUGGCAAGCGUUGUCCGGAAUCAUUGGGCGUAAAGAGCGUGUAGGCGGCUUGUUAAGUCUUGCGUGAAAUCUCGGGGCUCAACCCCGAGCGGUCGUGAGAAACUGGCAGGCUAGAGUGCGGGAGAGGAGAGUGGAAUUCCUGGUGUAGCGGUGAAAUGCGCAGAUAUCAGGAAGAACACCCGUGGCGAAGGCGGCUCUCUGGAACGCAACUGACGCUGAGACGCGAAAGCGUGGGGAGCAAACAGG